UACGAGAAGCUUCUAAGGAGAGUCAGUUGUU
rnacentral:piRNA from 1 species